GUUUCUGUUUAUACAGAUGGCUGGAACUUUUGGUUUUGGCCAUGACUGGCUGGGUGAAGGAGCUUUUGAGGAAUUAUUGUAAUAAGAAUUUCAGAAAUUGAGGUCUCUUGUGGCUUUUGGAAUAUUAUUAUCUCUGCGUAUUAUGAGAUUCAAUAGAUUGUUCUUUAAAGAAAUAUCCAUUAUUGAAUAAAUUCUCUGUAGAUAUGCCAUCAUUAUGCAAAAUCUGACUGAGAGGCUUAGGCCCCUUGUGGGUUUGAAAGGCUAGGAUUAUUGUGUUAUUUGGAAACUGAGUGAAGACCAAAGGUUUAUUGAGUUGAUGGAUUGUUGUUUUUCUGGGGCUGAUGAGAACACUCAGACUAAUGGAGGAAAUGAACUUAGUUUUCCAGUUUAUCCAGUCCUUCCAUGCAGAGAUGCAAUGCAGCACUCAAGAACAAAAUUCCUGUGAUCUUCUUGCCCAGCUUCCUUCUUCUCUGUCCUUAGACUCUGGGAUUUAUGCACAUCCAUUAAUAUCCAACCAGCCAAUUUGGUUGAAUUCAUCUUCUAACAGAGAUUCAAGUGCCAUGGCAGAAAGAGAUGAGACCAGAGUUUUGGUUCCAAAUGCAGAGGGUUGAUUGAGCUGUUUGUGA